CAGAGAAUACAGGAAUAAAAGAGCAAAGAGGAAGGAAAAUGGAGAAGAGAUGCACUAAUAGCUGGGGGAAAUCAAGAAAGGAUCAUACAGAUGGGCUUGAAACUAGCUUCAAAGGAAACUAAAGAUUCCAAAGGACAAAGGUAAAAAGGUAAAGAUUCCAAGAGACAGAGAUAAAGAAAAAGGAGUGCAUUCCAGGAGAAAGCAGAAUAGGAAAUGGAGGAAGAAAAGUCUUCACAAGAAAAAUAAAGU